rnacentral:ncRNA from 1 species
CCAGUGGCCGGAAGAGCACCGCACGUCGCGCGGUGUCCGGUGCGCCCCCGGCGGCCCAUGAAAAUCCGGAGGACCGAGUACCGUUCACGCCCGGUCGUACUCAGUGCCGCAUCAGGUCUCCAAGGUGAACAGCCUCUGGCCAAUGGAACAAUGUAGGCAAGGGAAGUCGGCAAAACGGAUCCGUAACUUCGGGAAAAGGAUUGGCUCUGAGGACUGGGCUCGGGGGUCCCGGCCCCGAACCCGUCGGCCG